GUGGGGAAUAUUGGACAAUGGGCGCAAGCCUGAUCCAGCCAUGCCGCGUGAGUGAUGAAGGCCUUAGGGUUGUAAAGCUCUUUCAGUGGGGACGAUAAUGACGGUACCCACAGAAGAAGCCCCGGCUAACUUCGUGCCAGCAGCCGCGGUAAUACGAAGGGGGCUAGCGUUGUUCGGAUUUACUGGGCGUAAAGCGCACGUAGGCGGAUCGUUAAGUCGGGGGUGAAAUCCUGGGGCUCAACUCCAGAACUGCCUUCGAUACUGGCGAUCUUGAGUCCGGAAGAGGUGAGUGGAACUCCUAGUGUAGAGGUGGAAUUCGUAGAUAUUAGGAAGAACACCAGUGGCGAAGGCGGCUCACUGGUCCGGUACUGACGCUGAGGUGCGAAAGCGUGGGGAGCAAACAGGAUUAGAAACCCUUGUAGUCC
rnacentral:rRNA from 1 species